AUAUGUGAUUGGUUUAGUGGAGUUUUUGGAGGCUUAAAACAAAAAAGGCACACUGAUUACAAAUUUAGUAAUAAUUAAUUAUGAAAGGCUGAUAUUUGAUUAUAUCAAAAUAUGUAAAAUAUUGGUGGGAGACUCAAAGAUGUAAAAGGAAUUCAAAGGUAAAGAUUACUUUUUUCUACAUUUUGAAGCAUUUUUUGCUUCCUAAUUACUUCCCUUGAACUACUCUCUAACGUUUGGAGGUACAAUGUGUAUUUAGUAAACAGCAAUGAACAUUUUCUGGCGAAAGAUCUCAUCAAAGUUUUACAGUCUGGAAGAAGAAAAGAAGGCUAGACAUCUUAAACAAUGAAGACAGAAGGAUUUACCAUAUAAGAUGAAUAAAGAAAAAGUAAGACCAGUAAACCAAAACAGGACCAAAUAGGCCAUGACUGAAGUUCAAGUGCAUUCUCAAAGAAAGUGGACAGCCUAGAUUUUGUUCUUUUCAAGGUUGAGAAGGGAUGCCAUAUUUUAGGUUUGAAACCAGGCAAGUGAAAGCUGAAUUCCAACCUACUUCAACAUACUUGUACCCACUGUCUUCAAGAUAUCAGUGUUUGAGAUGUCAAAGUUCAAAUAUAAUAGGAACAUGUUUAUCGUAUUAUGUGAUGGCAUCCU